GGCUCUGUGGCGCAAUGGAUAGCGCAUUGGACUUCUAGGCUGUGAGCUGAGCCAUUCAAAGGUUGUGGGUUUGAGUCCAACCUGAUUCG
rfam:Danio rerio chromosome 4, GRCz11 reference primary assembly.